GAUCAGCCUAGGCCUAUUAAUCAGUCUAAGUUCCAGCCUGGGCUGAGCGAGUCUCGAGAAAGCCAGCUCAUCUCCUUUUGUGUUGAAGGGCAGGGGAAGGGAACCAAGAUUGAGGAUCAAGGCUGCGCUGCUUCAGUGCCUUCAUGGACAACCAAAUUCCAGUUGCCAGCUUUCUUCGUAGGCAUCUGUUCCUCACAAAAUGGCUUCGGCGGAACAUAACUUUCCAAAAGAAGAGCACUCCAGCCCCUGCCUCUAUGUUCACCUAUCUUUCUGAGUCAGCUUUUCAGCAACAAAUGCCACCAAGCUAGUUAGCUGACAGUACCAACUACAGAAGGAAAUCAUGUUGGAAAUGUCACUGAGGCCAGGCUGCCUCCCCACCUCCACCCACAGCCUCUUUCAUCUCACCAUCCAUUCCUUCCAGAGUGGCAGAAGGAGACUGGGUGGCAAGUGUAUUUAAGAUUCUGAGGAAAAGGCCUGUUAAGUCGACCUUGGUAACUUAACUGAAACAGUAUAUGUGUAAAUCCAUUGAAAAUCCCUGGCCUUUUACAACUUCUGUCCCAAUGGAAAUCAGAUCACAGGACUGUUUACAAGAGACCACGAUUCAUUUGGAUAAAGACCCAUGACAGCACGGCCCAGGAUUAUUUGAAAUUUUAGUAACCUAAGCUUUAAAAAUAUUCUAAAAGCAAAAUAAUGGGGGCAGCCACUUAGAAAUAACGACUGUGAACAAAUGAACUCCACUAGAAGACUCCUUAACAAGUCAGAAAGAAGCAAGGAAAGCGGAAGAUAAUAGUGAGGGUGGACAAGACCCGAGGCAGAGGAACCUGAAGCCCGCCAUUACCAGCGGAGCAGCUUCCGGUUGUUCACUUGACUUCUCUGUGUCUCUGCCUCCAGCACCAGUGAUCCA
rnacentral:lncRNA from 1 species